CCGGCAUCUCUGACAAAGAAGGGAAGAAAGAAAAGGAAUUCCAAGAUGUCUGCUAACCUGUGGCCGUAGUACGAGAGAAAGCAGCAGACGCUGUGGCAACAAGAUUUCACUCAGACAAAAAAUAAAGGCUAUUGGAAUUCAAUGCCGACCACCUUCAGAACUCUCCGGGAAAAAGGAAAACAAGGAGAAGGGAUUUCAAUCGGAUCUCGCAGUUCAUGAUGGUACGAAUGGUGACUCUGUGGAAUGACACCAUGUAGUCUGACAGAUGGUUACCAACGUGCCGGAGGACGAUGCUGCGUCAAGAUCUUCACUCUGAACACGUUGGCAACAUGUUCCUCCGUAGUUUUUUUUUUUUUGAGUGGGGUGAGACUGAAUCUACUUGGAAGAAUGCAGUAAAUCGUGCAGCUGUUCCUGUCAGAAAUGGCGGAUAAACCCUACAUGAACCUGGAGUCUCACCGCCCCUCCGAGAACAUUUCUUCAACGUAAAAUCACCGUGAAGUAUUCAAUUAUAUAAAUUUUUAUUCCCCAAAUAUGCAUAGGAUUACACGACUGUAUCAUCAUGUAAAACAGCCUAACAAUUUUCAAUCGUAAUUUUAAGAGAAUCAUUUCCCAUUUACAGUACAGUCUUCUGUGUUGCAACGCCAUGUAGUUUAAUGUUUUGGAUAAUCAUAUCUCCUCCUUCUUCAGGUCCGAAGAGUAAGAAAGAGCCGAGCAAGAAACCCGCAGGGUCAGGCAGCAAGCUGGGUUCACGUCCUGCUUCUUGUCGCUUCUUUCUUCGCUUAGUAUUCGACUGUGACAACGCAGGUGAAGGGGCCCUCCGAACCUCAGAUUUCUCUCCGAACUACCCAGAAUUAUGACUCAGAUGAUCGCACUUUUCAUAAGCACAGCAUGGAGAAACUUAAAUCCAUAAUAUCUCAUUUAUUUCUGUCAGAGAACGCCAGUCAAUUUAAGAAUUUAGUUAAUUUCUUAUAAUCUAUAGAGCAACUCUUUCAUAAAUUAAAUAGAUAAAAAGGUAAAGUUGUCUCUAUGCUUAACUAAUUAAGCACUACAACAUGAAGA